rnacentral:rRNA from 1 species
AUGGUGAAGAUUAAUGUGGACGGAGCCGUUGGGAGAACAAGGCGAGGAGGAGCAGUAGCGGCGCUAUGUCGGGACCAUGAAGGUAACUACCUGGGCUCAUCAGCGAUGGUGUACUAUGGCAUUACUGACCCGCUGCUGUUGGAGACUUUUGCUUGCCGUGAAGCAUUAGCUUUGGCGGAUGAUCUUGUGGAGCAGAAGAUAUAUGUGGCCUCGGACUGCCAGGAGGCGGUGAACGACAUAAACAGAGGCACCGGAGGCCCUAAUGCAGCUUUAGUUCAUGAAAUAACGAACCAUAUGAGUAGUUUUGUGUCUUGCUCAUUUGUUUUCGAGCGUAGGAAAUUUAAUUUCGAGGCUCAUAAUCUUGCCAAGUUCGUUUGUAAUCUUAACAUAGGUAUUCAUGUUUGGUUGGGUUACCCACAUGACCUGAACCUUGUACCUAUGACAAUUCCUUUGAAUGAAUAA